rnacentral:rRNA from 1 species
AUUGAACGCUGGCGGCAGGCCUAACACAUGCAAGUCGAACGGUAACAGGAAGCAGCUUGCUGCUUUGCUGACGAGUGGCGGACGGGUGAGUAAUGUCUGGGAAACUGCCUGAUGGAGGGGGAUAACUACUGGAAACGGUAGCUAAUACCGCAUAACGUCGCAAGACCAAAGAGGGGGACCUUCGGGCCUCUUGCCAUCGGAUGUGCCCAGAUGGGAUUAGCUAGUAGGUGGGGUAACGGCUCACCUAGGCGACGAUCCCUAGCUGGUCUGAGAGGAUGACCAGCCACACUGGAACUGAGACACGGUCCAGACUCCUACGGGGGGCAGCAGUGGGGAAUAUUGCACAAUGGGCGCAAGCCUGAUGCAGCCAUGCCGCGUGUAUGAAGAAGGCCUUCGGGUUGUAAAGUACUUUCAGCGGGGAGGAAGGGAGUAAAGUUAAUACCUUUGCUCAUUGACGUUACCCGCAGAAGAAGCACCGGCUAACUCCGUG